AACCAGCCUGUAACUCCUGGGGAGAAGGGGGCGGAGAGGGGGAAAAUGCGGGAGAGAGGGAGAGAGCGAGGCAACCGGGCUCAAAACAGUCAAAUUCAAAUUAAAAGGUCGAGACACGUAUCAGGAAACGGAAUCUGCAGAACAACUUGUCUUUCCGGUCGCCCCACAUUUUUCCCUGGACAGAUCCUGGGGUUCAGACUUUCCGAAGCGCUGGAGGCUGGCGGGGAAAGCACUGGAGCCCAGCGCCCUGGCAUGGAGGAGUGAGGAGGCUAGACAGCUUCCAGGGAGGCCCAAGCCCGCUGCUGCUAAAAGACUGUGGAAAGAAAUCCGCGGAAUCCCCCCAAUCAGGGGUGGAGAGAGAAGACGCAGGGGUUCCUGAACCUCGGGAAAACAGGAAGGAAAUGUAGAGUGUGUGAUUUGCUUGCAGGACCGGCCAGCGGAGAUUUGAAAUGGUUUUGUAUUUUCAUUUGCAGGGUCACCGUGGCCUCAGCAUGGGGGUUAUCCAGGGCAAGGUUAGGCUGUUUAGGCCCCAGACGAGACUUGGGACAGUCCGGGCAGCAGUCAAUCCAGGGAGCCAUUUGUCCCACCGCCCAUCCCGCGGGAAACGGGCGAGACUUUAUGGCCACUCUGUUUGUAUUAUCUGCAUAAGUCUUUCCCCACCAGUUUGAUCGAAACCGUUCCCUUUUACGAGGACCCAACGAAAAUUUCCCGUCAUAUUUAUCAGCCAGGGAUAAAAAUUUAGUAUGGGAACUGAUAUUUCCUCAUUUAUGGGACGAUGAAAUUAAAUACCAAAGCAAUUGAGAAUUA